rnacentral:rRNA from 1 species
CCGACCCGCAAGGGAGCUUGCACAGGUGCUGCAUGGCUGUCGUCAGCUCGUGUCGUGAGAUGUUCGGUUAAGUCCCGCAACGAGCGCAACCCCUACUGUUAGUUGCCAUCGGGUUAAGCUGGGCACUCUAACAGGACUGCCUACGCAAGUAGUGAGGAAGGUGGGGAUGACGUCAAGUCCGCAUGGCCCUUACGCCUAGGGCCACACACGUGCUACAAUGGAUGUUACAAUGGGUUGCCAAACCGCGAGGUGGAGCCAAUCCCACAAAAGCAUCCUCAGUUCGGAUUGGAGUCUGAAACUCGACUCCAUGAAGUCGGAAUUGCUAGUAAUCGCGCAUCAGCACGGCGCGGUGAAUACGUUCCCGGGCCUUGUACACACCGCCCGUCAAGCCAUGGAAGCUGGGGGUACCCAAAGUCAGUGUCCUAACCGCAAGGGGGGAGCUGCCUAAGGUAAAACCAGUGACUGGGGCUAAGUCGUAACAAGGUAGCCGUACCGGAAGG